GGCGGAGGCCCGGGCAUCAGAUGGAGGAGGCCCAGUAUCUGAUGGAUGAGGCCCAGGAUCAGAUGGAGGAGGCCCAGGCAUCAGAUGGAGGAGGCCCAGGCAUCAGAUGGAGGAGGCCCAGGCAUCAGAUGAAGGAGGCCCAGGAUCAGAUGGAAGAGGCCCAGUAUCUGAUGUCGGAGGCCUGGGCAUCAGCUGGAGGAGGCCCAGGCAUCAGCUGGAGGAGGCCAGUAUCAGAUG